rnacentral:rRNA from 1 species
CCUACGGGAGGCAGCAGUGAGGAAUAUUGGUCAAUGGACGAGAGUCUGAACCAGCCAAGUAGCGUGAAGGAUGACUGCCCUAUGGGUUGUAAACUUCUUUUAUAUGGGAAUAAAAUGUGCCACGUGUGGGAUUUUGUAUGUAACAUAUGAAUAAGGAUCGGCUAACUCCGUGCCAGCAGCCGCGGUAAUACGGAGGAUCCGAGCGUUAUCCGGAUUUAGUGGGUUUACAGGGAGCGUAGGUGGAUUGUUAAGUCAGUUGUGAAAGUUUGCGGCUCAACCGUAAAAUUGCAGUUGAAACUGGCAGUCUUGAGUACAGUAGUGGUGGGCGGAAUUCGUUGUGUCGCGGUGAAAUGCUUAGAUAUCACGAAGAACUCCGAUUGCGAAGGCAGCUCACUGGACUGCAACUGACACUGAGGCUCGAAAGUGUGGGUAUCAAACAGGAUUAGAUACCCGUGUAGUC